AAACCGUCAGGUCUUGGUUUUGAGCGCAUGUCGGCUUAGGUCGACUCGCUAGAAAUGCAUUAGCUGGAUCUCUCCUUUCGGUUUCAACGUGAUAAGUUGGAUCGUUGUCAUUUGCCGAUUGUGUGGGUUCGCUUCUAAUCGUCUCCGGACAAUACCGACUUUUACACCUCAACUCGGGUAGGACUACCCGCUGAACUUAA
rnacentral:misc_RNA from 1 species